rfam:Gossypium hirsutum cultivar TM-1 unplaced genomic scaffold scaffold1271.1, whole genome shotgun sequence
UAUUAAAAAUUCUAUCCAUUCCUAUAGUUAAAAAUUGGCGUGUAUGAUGAAAUAACCAGAUGGUGACAUGUGGUGUGCCAUGUGUAUUUCAUGCUAACGUACAAGGAUCAAUUCUUAACAAUAUAAAUGGAUAAAAUUUUUAAUA